AAAGUACUCCCUCCGUCCCAAAAUUCUUGUCUUAGAUUUGUCUAGGAAUGGAUGUGUCUAAAUACUAAAACAUGACUAGAAACAUUCAUAUUUAUACAAAUCUAAGGCAAGAAUUUUGGUACGGAGGGAGUAUCUA
rfam:Hordeum vulgare subsp. vulgare, WGS project CAJW01000000 data, contig: morex_contig_1823904